rfam:Canis lupus familiaris chromosome 7, whole genome shotgun sequence.
AGGGGGAGGCCGGAUCCUGGGCUGUGUCCCGGCGCCCUGUGCUCCCUGCCUGUGCUGUUGGAUUCGCGCUCCCGCCCCGCAGCCCCCU